rnacentral:rRNA from 1 species
AUUGAACGCUGGCGGCACGCCUAACACAUGCAAGUCGAGCGGCAGCAUGGUGUGUAGCAAUACACACUGAUGGCAAGCGGCGGACGGGUGAGGAAUACGUAGGAAUCUGCCCUCAAGCGGGGGACAACCAAGGGAAACUUUGGCUAAUACCGCAUAAUCUCGAGAGAGAAAAGCUGCCCGCAAGGGUGGCACUUAAGGAGGAGCCUGCGUCCGAUUAGCUAGUUGGUGAGGUAAGAGCUCACCAAGGCGAUGAUCGGUAACUGGUCUGAGAGGACGACCAGUCACACUGGGACUGAGACACGGCCCAGACUCCUACGGGAGGCAGCAGUGGGGAAUAUUGGACAAUGGGGGCAACCCUGAUCCAGCGAUGCCGCGUGAGUGAAGAAGGCCUUCGGGUCGUAAAGCUCUUUAGGUUGGGAAGAAGUGCAUUCGGCGAAUAACCGAGUGUGUUGACGGUACCGACAGAAUAAGCACCGGCAAACUCUGUGCCAGCCGCCGCAGUAAGAC